UUCUCACGUACGUUUCCCACCGCCAUCUCUCUCUCUCUCUCCUUUACCCAUUUUUCUUUAACCCUAGCCCUCAAUCAGUCACGGAUUCUUCUCCUCUCCUUUUUCUUUCGUUAUCAUUUUUGCUCCUAAUCCUACGCCUCCAUACUCAUUCGCCACUGAAUCAAUUGAUGCAUUUCACUGGUAGAUGACGACAUUUGUGGUAGGUUGAAUUGAGAAAGCAACCAUCUCAGUUUUUUUCAUUAGGGUUUUUCUUUAAAUCUUCUCAGCGUCUCUCGAAUUAAGGUUAGUAUACAAGUUCAUAACUUAUAGUUCAUCUAUCUAACUGAACUUUCUAUUAUUCGAAUCCAUAAAGUUGUGUCAUUCAAGUUAGGGUAUAUUCUUUGAUAUAUUGUGACGUUAAAUUGUCUAAUGUUGUUUUGUUCCAAUUCAGUAGUGUUCUCUUUAGGAACAAUGUGGAUUUGACAUAGAAAAAUAAAUUUGGCCAGGUCAGUUUUUUUAAUGUUCAUUUUUUAUUAGGGUUUAUGUUUUGAAUCAGGUCUUGAAAUGAUAAUAGUGGAGAACAAAUUCUUAUGUCAGAAUCCUCUUCAAAGGAAAUGAAAGAAAAACAAAGAAGAACAAAUAUCCAAGAUAGGAUGCAGAGUUCAAGUUCAAGUUAGAAGAGCCUCAUGUGAAUGAUAAGUUGCAUGUGGAAGUUUGUAGUGCUUCAUCCAAGAUUGGGCUAUUGCAUCCUAAGGAACGGGGUAAGUUUUGAAGUUAGCGUUCGACUUCUCGGUGGUUUAAUGGUAUGAGGGUACACAAUAGCAGAUAUUGUAAGCUAUAGUUUGUUAGGAUUGUUGUUUGUGAGAUCCUUAAGAGGUUGCCGCGUGUCGUGGUAUGUAACUUGGGAUGCUUUAGCAAGAUGCUAGCAACAGGUGGGUCAUUUAAAAAAAAUAAGCAUUUUCUAACACCAUAAUUUUCAUUUAACACAAGUAUUAUAUUCUUCAAAUAUACUACGUAUCAGUUAACUUUGCUCCAUGAUUGAUGAAAAACGUAUAUCGGGCUACUGGUACAACUUUGUUUCAACUACAAUUUCUCUUGCAAAAUGUUUGAUAAAGCCCGCUAUUUACAUUCGUAUCAAGAUACAAAAGGUACACAUUACAAACUUCUUAUACAUUUAUAUAUCUUGCUUUAAUGUUAUUGAACUACAAAAAAAGAUGUGCAGAACCAAAUGCUUAAAAUAUAUAGAUAAUCAAUUUAUUGUUUUGUAUAAAUUGGCAAGAACUGUUGUACCAACUACUUUUUUACUAAGCUUAAUGAGGUUUGGGUUGGGUUAAACACUGGUUUAUAGAAUACAUUAAUUGACCGGAUUGUUUUGCCUAAGCUGCAGUUAAUGGAGAUGAAAGUUCUGAUAAUAUAGACAAAUUUCUUUAUAAGCUAUUUUUUAGAAUGGGUCAGGUAUCUUGGCUGCUACUGUUGAAUAAAUGUAGGCGAUGUUUUAUUUAUUUUGUGUUUAUGUAUAUUAUUUGGGGUUUACUAUAAGGUUUUCUGUACAUGAUUUGAAUAGCUGUAACCAGUCCAUAACGGACUUGCAGGUGAUUGUGGGAAGGACCUUUUAAUUUUCUUUAGUUGUUAUUGAGUAACCCUUUUCUUUGUUCCAUAUCUUUUGCUACAAUAAUCUUACAAAGUUUAUUAUUUUAGAUUUUCUAACCUUUUCCUCUAUCUGUCAAGAUUCUCUAAGUGUUGGAGUGUUGAAAUAUUGUGCACUAGAUAACUAGAUUUUCAUACAUGUAGUGAUCCUUAAAAGUGUGAUUUACUGAGGCAAGUAUUGGCAUAAAAUAAUUAUCAUGUCUAAUUCAACAUACAUACCCUGCAAAUAUGAAGUAUCAUGUCUUUUAAAACUAUUAGUGUAGUUAGGUGACUAUAUGGGUUAGAUGGGAUCGGUAACAGGUCCGUGUUUAAACAUGUUAUUUUCUAUGCGAGUCAAACAAACAAGUUGGGUUGCAAACAUGUUUUUGUUCUUUUUCAUUGUUGUAAAAAUAAUCUAAAUGUCUUAAAAAUUUAGUAGGUAGCUAAACGAAGGGUAAGGCGGUCAAAAUGGUAAGACUGUGAAAUAUUAUCUAGAUGCUGAGAUGGGGUGGGUAAGCGUAGCGGGUUCGGUUUAAAUAGGCCACUCAUGUAUGAGGCUAAGAAGUUAUGUCAAAUGGCUCUUGACACUCACAAAGCAAAUGCUUCAACUGCUUCUAUAUAAGCAGCAUCAGUCCAAAGACUUAUGGGUAUUGUUUGUGAUGCCAAGGGUGAAUAUAAGCCUUCACUUGAACAUUAUGCGUUAGCUAGCAUCAUCAUGUCUACCACGAAUCGGUCAAACAAAUUGAGCUAUGUACAUUUCACAAGUUAAGAAACACACAUAGAUAAUUAUUUUAUGCCAAUACUUGCCUCAGUAAAUCACACUUUUAAGGAUCACUACAUGUAUGAAAGGUAGAUUAUAUAUACAUAUAUGGAAAUGUUAACUGGGGAAAGUUAAGCACUAAGGUGUCUGAGAUGGGUUGACUGGUUAAAUGAUGGUGUUUGCUUGACUUAAACAAUGAUCUUUUGCGAGAUAAGUAACUAUACAGGUUUACAGACUUGGCUUGGUCUUUUUGCUCUUUUUUUAGUUUUUUAUAUUAUUGUCUUUUCUUUUUAGCCAUGUCACUGUAUCAUAUCUCUUGAUGUUUGGUUCUUUAUUCAUAUGCAUACAAGCGAAAUGAUUAAUUAAGUAUUCUCCUAAUCAACUUUCGUAAUUUGUUAUAGUUUAUGUAUUGUUAUUAUUACUAAAACCAAUUUCACCGCCACAGUAAUCAUUCUAUUGUUUAGCUUUUGGGCACCAUGUUUUAUAAGUUUUCUGAAUUAAGCACCAGUACUUUUUUUUUUUUUUUUGCAAACUGACAUUUAGCUUUUUUGUUCUUUUUACAGUUUGGUGUGAACCUGGUUGCUAGAGCUGAAAAGUCACAAUGGGACCCCAAGGUACUUCUUCAUUCAUCAUUUUCUUUUGUGUUUGUUGUGUUUAUAUUUUUUCAGGGUUUGAAUAAUGAUAACAAUAAUAACUGUUAAAAGUUUAAGGAUAUUUUUAUAUGAAAAUGAUAGAUAUUUGUGCAAUUUUUCUAUCUAUCUUUUUUUAUCAGGUGGGAUUUGACUUAAAAAAGUCAAACUUGGUACUUCAAAGGGUUUUAACAGAUAGAUUUUUAAGAAUAAUUGACUUUGAACUAAUUGUCAUCAAUAAUGAGAGUGGAGGGUGUACCAAUUGCUAUAUGGAUACCGUACACCACCUGAACCUGAACCCGGAGAGAAAAGCAAACUAUUCAUUUGGAGUGUGUUUCUAAAUCUGCUAAAGGUGAAGGCUAGACUAAGCAUGUUCAAUGAACGGGUCAACGGGCAUGCGCAAGCUACAAGUCUUAUAGCAUAAGCAUGGAUUGAAAUUCCGAUACCCAUGUGAGUUAGUCAUAUGUAUUAUUUUGACUAAAAAGUCAACUGCUUUAUAUGGUUAUGUAUAGGUCGUAAUGAUUGGGUCAUUUGGAAGAUGUGGGCUGGGAUCCUAUGGUCAAAUAAGCCAGAAUUAAAGGGAAGAACUUGGGCUGUAGGUACAACUGUAUAUAAAUAUGGUACAACUUUUUUAGCAGUCGCAAGAAGUAGACAAGAUUUUACACAUGGCAAAAUUUACACAUGGCGAAGAAUGUUUAUAUGGAGUUUCUACCUUUUUGUCUCUAAUACUUUAAAUUCAUUUACAUUUAUUCAAUUAUCUGAUCGUCGGGUUUAAUA